rnacentral:rRNA from 1 species
GAGUUUGAUCGUGGCUCAGGACGAACGCUGGCGGCGUGCUUAACACAUGCAAGUCGAACGAUGAAGCCGCUUCGGUGGUGGAUUAGUGGCGAACGGGUGAGUAACACGUGGGCAAUCUGCCCUGCACUCUGGGACAAGCCCUGGAAACGGGGUCUAAUACCGGAUAUGACCUGGUGAGGCAUCUCAUCGGGUGGAAAGCUCCGGCGGUGCAGGAUGAGCCCGCGGCCUAUCAGCUUGUUGGUGGGGUGAUGGCCUACCAAGGCGACGACGGGUAGCCGGCCUGAGAGGGCGACCGGCCACACUGGGACUGAGACACGGCCCAGACUCCUACGGGAGGCAGCAGUGGGGAAU